UUUUAGCCCUGAUAAAAGCGGUAUCCUUUCACUGGCUUCUCUUGCCAGGGAAAGAUAAAGCGGAUAGGUACUAUCU
rnacentral:sRNA from 1 species